AGGCUGGCUUCUAGCUCAGCGGUUCCUUCCACAGCUUGUUGUUAGCCAACUGACCUGGCGGCUUGCGGCUUGCACUGGCCAGUUGGAUCCAGAGCCGCAGCGCUCUCCAGCCCUUUU
ensembl:vault_RNA Vault Vault RNA